AUGGCGGCCUGCUCCGUCCGCCUCCUCGCCGCCGCCGCGCACCGCCGGGGCGCGGCCGCGUUCCUCCACUCGCCGCGGCGGCCCGUCGCGUGCUCCCUCUCGUUCCCGCGGGGCCACGGCGGCAUCCGCGGCCGCGCCGGCCUCUCCUCCAUCUCCCUCCCCUCCUCCGCCUCCUCCGCGCAGGGCCACGCGCCCUUCAACCUCCUCCCGCCGGACUCCGAGCCCUUCAUCCAGUGGGACGCCCUGCCUCCGCAGGACACCUCCGCGGGCGGCGCAGGGGCAGGCGGAAGGGAGGAGGGCCCCGCGCUGGUGGUGCUGCUGGGCUGGCUCGGCGCGCGGCAGAAGCACCUGCGGAGGUACGCGGACCUCUACCGCGACCGCGGGGUCGGGUCCGUGCGGUUCGUGGUCCCCGUCCGCGAGCUCCUGGGGCUCGACCUCGGCCGCCGCGUCGAGCGCAGGGUCGCCGACCUCUCCGCCGAGAUCGCCGCCUGGUGCGACGCCGACCGCAGCCGCACGCUCCUCUUCCACACCUUCAGCAACACCGGCUGGCUCGCGUAUGGUGCGGUACUUGAGAAUCUACAAUCAAGAGCUGAUAUAAUUGAGAGGAUAAAGGGAUGUAUUGUAGACUCGGCACCAGUUCUAGAGAUUAGACCAGAGGUCUGGGCUGCUGGUUUCUCUGCUGCCAUGCUGAAGAAAAGUAGUUCUUUAACAGGACCUUCAGCUGACUCCCCUGAUGGAUCUGCUUUGAAUGGUGCCUUGAACAAAGUUACUUCUGUCUCAGAGUUAACGAAACCAUCAUGGGGUGAAACUUUUCUUCUUUCAACCCUUCAAAAGUUCUUUGAGAUUGUCCUUCACCUACCUGAUGUAAACCGGAGAAUGCACAAGGUCCUCUCGGUUCUUUCAGAUAAGCAGCCGCCCUGCCCCCAGUUCUACCUGUACAGCUCCGCCGACAGAGUGAUCCCUGCCGAAUGCGUAGAGAGCUUCAUUAACAUGCAGAGAUCACUGGGGCUGAGCGUCUCAGCACACAAUUUUGUCUCGUCACCGCAUGUGGACCACUACAGGAGCUUCCCUCACCUGUACUCUGCCAAGAUCGACGAGUUCCUGAAGGUCUGUUCCCUAGUUAGUGUAUGA
rnacentral:rRNA from 1 species